rnacentral:lncRNA from 10 species
CGGGGAGGCAGCUAAGGCCCAGCGAGAAAUCGAGCACAGCAGCUGCUGGGCCAGGUGCUAAGCCCCUCACUGCGCGGGGCUUGCGCGCCCACCGGCCGGCCGCUCCGAGUGCGGGGCCUGCCGAGGCCACGCCCACCCGGAACUCGCGCUGGCCCGCAAGCGCCGCGCGCAGCCCUGGUUCCCGCCCGUGCCUCUUCCUCCACACUUUCCCGCAAGCUGAGGGAGCCGGCUCCCGCCUUGGCCAGCCCGGAAAGGGGCUCCCACGGUGCAGCGGUGGGCUGAAGGGCUCCUCAAGCACGGCCAGAGUGGGCGCCAAGGCCGAGGAGGCCCCGAGAGCGAGCGAGGGCUGCCAGUAUGCUGUCACCUCUCAUUAUUAUUUGCCGAUGGGAGUGGAGAAGGAGACUUGGUGAUAACAGGACUGAAAACCUUGUGUAGAUAUGGUUCUAGUUCCAUUCAUAUCAGAAGAGAUACAACCUUAUACCUCUCCACAGAAUCCACGAAGAGUGAAAAAGAAACCAGCAAAUGCAGAAAAGAAGACUAAUGUUCAUUCAACAGCUCAUAUGUGUCUGGCAUGUGCUAAGUGCUUUUCCUAUUUAUUUCAUUUGAAAGAAAAGCCUCGGUGUUAUUUUCACGGUAGAAUUUUUUUUCUAGAAGUAUAUUAUUUGAUGUAUAAUUUGAAAUGUUUAUAAGAACAUAAUACAAUUGUUCUUAUAAACAUAGUAUAAACAUGUUCUUAUAAACAUAGUAUACAUAGGUAGUAUAAAAAUAUUACCUAUUUUUAAAUGCAUUUCAUGGCUUUCUUCUCACUUGUAAGUAAACUAUGUAAGAAUAUGUGUAAUUGCCAUUCUUGCUUAUCAUGACUUUCCCCGCUGGUUCUCAAAAACUUUUUACUGAUUUGAAUGAAUGAAUGCACAGAUAUAUGGGAGCUAAAUCACCUUGUCGGGAGCCAUGAUCUUUAAAUUCAGGUGUAUGCAUUCCAGACUUUGUACAGAUGAUUUAACAAAAUUUGAA